AUUGAACGCUGGCGGCAUGCCUUACACAUGCAAGUCGAACGGCAGCAUGGAAGAGCUUGCUCUUCUGAUGGCGAGUGGCGAACGGGUGAGUAAAGCAUCGGAACGUACCGUGUAGUGGGGGAUAACGUAGCGAAAGUUACGCUAAUACCGCAUACGCACUGAGGUGGAAAGCAGGGGAUCGCAAGACCUUGCGCUAUACGAGCGGCCGAUGUCAGAUUAGCUAGUUGGUAGGGUCAAGGCCUACCAAGGCGACGAUCUGUAGCGGGUGUGAGGGGAGCAGCCGGCACGGUGGGACUGAGACACGGCCCAGGCGCCGACGGGAGGCGGCAGUGGGGAAUUUGGGACAAUGGGCGGAAGCCUGAUCCAGCCAUGCCGAGUGAGUGAAGAAGGCCUUCGGGUUGUAAAGCUCUUUCGGCUGGGAAGAAAUCGCACAGGCUAAUACUCUGUGUGGAUGACGGUACCAGCACAAGAAGCACCGGCUAACUACGUGCCAGCCGCCGCAGUAA
rnacentral:rRNA from 1 species